rnacentral:rRNA from 1 species
AGCCGUCGCGGUUAGACGAAGAAUCUAAAUAGAACGAUUGUUCACUAGUUUACGUUGAUUUUUUAAGUAAUAUUUUCUUUUUUGUUGGGUGAAAUCAAAAUAAAAGGUGAUAACUUCUAUAAAAAUUUAAAGGAACUAUAAAACUUAGGUUAAAAACCAGGAUUAGAUACCCUGUUAUUCUAAGCUAAAUAAAAUAGGGUAGUAAAAGUUGUUCUUCAAACCCAAAGAUUUUGGCGGCACUUUAUCCAAAUAGAGGAGCUUGCCCUGUAAUCGAUAGUCCUCGUUUUAUCUUGCCCUAUCUUGUUAAGCUUGUAUACCGCCGUUGUCAGAUUACUUUUUAAGAAUGUUUUCAAGAAAUAAAAUUUUUUAACUUCAGGUCAAGGUGCAGUUUAUGGUAGGGUAGAGGUGAGCUACAUUUUUUACUAGAAAAUACGGAUUUUAAGUGUAAUUUUAAAGGAAGGUGGAUUUAUUAGUAAAUUAAUUUGAGUAUAAUUAAUUGAAUUAGGUAAUAAAGUGUGCACAUAUCGCCCGUCACUCUCUUCUUAAGAGGAGAUAAGUCGUAACAAA